rnacentral:rRNA from 1 species
CGCUGGCGGCAUGCCUAACACAUGCAAGUCGAACGAGACCUUCGGGUCUAGUGGCGCACGGGUGCGUAACACGUGGGAAUUUGCCUCGGGGUAUGGAAUAACUCAGGGAAACUUGAGCUAAUACCAUAUAAUGUCUUCGGACCAAAGAUUUAUCGCCCUGAGAUAAGCCCGCGUAGGAUUAGCUAGUUGGUGGGGUAAAGGCUCACCAAGGCGACGAUCCUUAGCUGGUCUGAGAGGAUGAUCAGCCACACUGGGACUGAGACACGGCCCAGACUCCUACGGGAGGCAGCAGUGGGGAAUAUUGGACAAUGGGCGCAAGCCUGAUCCAGCCAUGCCGCGUGAGUGAUGAAGGCCCUAGGGUUGUAAAGCUCUUUCACCGGUGAAGAUAAUGACGGUAACCGGAGAAGAAGCCCCGGCUAACUUCGUG